GCGUCUUAAGCAUGCAAGUCAAACGGGAUGUAGCAAUACAUCUAGUGGCGAACGGGUGAGUAACGCGUGGAUGAUCUACCUACGAGAUGGGGAUAACUAUUAGAAAUAGUAGCUAAUACCGAAUAAAGUCAAUUAAUUUGUUAAUUGAUGAAAGGAAGCCUUUAAAGCUUCGCUUGUAGAUGAGUCUGCGUCUUAUUAGCUAGUUGGUAGGGUAAAUGCCUACCAAGGCGAUGAUAAGUAACCGGCCUGAGAGGGUGAACGGUCACACUGGAACUGAGAUACGGUCCAGACUCCUACGGGAGGCAGCAGCUAAGAAUCUUCCGCAAUGGGCGAAAGCCUGACGGAGCGACACUGCGUGAAUGAAGAAGGUCGAAAGAUUGUAAAAUUCUUUUAUAAAUGAGGAAUAAGCUUUGUAGGAAAUGACAAAGUGAUGACGUUAAUUUAUGAAUAAGCCCCGGCUAAUUACGUGCCAGCAGCCGCGGUAAUACGUAAGGGGCGAGCGUUGUUCGGGAUUAUUGGGCGUAAAGGGUGAGUAGGCGGAUAUAUAAGUCUAUGCAUAAAAUGCCACGGCUCAACUGUGGAACUAUGUUGGAAACUAUAUGUCUAGAGUCUGAUAGAGGAAGUUAGAAUUUCUGGUGUAAGGGUGGAAUCUGUUGAUAUCAGAAAGAAUACCGGAGGCGAAGGCGAACUUCUGGGUCAAGACUGACGCUGAGUCACGAAAGCGUAGGGAGCAAACAGGAUUAGAUACCCUGGUAGUCUACGCUGUAAACGAUGCACACUUGGUGUUAACUAAAAGUUAGUACCGAAGCUAACGUG
rnacentral:rRNA from 1 species